UACUGUGCAGUACAAUACUUUACCAUAUAAUACCGUACAUUAUGAAACUAUGGCAUACCACUAUCCAUACAAAGUGUUAGGGGUAAUGUCUGGUGUUAUUGUUCCAACCAAUGUGAUCUAUCAUAUUGGAAAGUACAAUGUCGUUCUUCAGGACGACUCUAUCGGUUUGGAGAAUGGUUAUCCACACGAAUGACCCCAUUUCAAUCCCAUCUGUCAUAUAGGCCUUGUCUAGUGCGAUUUACAUCUCCUGUAUGGUUGCAGACAAUUACAAAAGUGGGUGGUUUACCUAGUGCAUACACAAUGCUCACCACGGAUGCUCAUCCGAAGUGUAGAGGCUGGGUUCCAAAAGAAAAAAAAAUUUGAAAAUAUAAUGUCAUAUGUUGUGGCUACUUGGUGCAAAUCCUACAGAUAGGAACCUGCCUGUUGGGCCCAAUUUUUGGACCCGAAUGAAUGAAAUGGUGAUUUGGCCCAAAGCCCAUUAGUCUAGGGUUUCCCUUUAUAUUCCACCAGCCCCUCUCUUCCCCUCUCAUAGUGCCGUAUCUCUUCUUCUCAUUGAUAGGUUCACUCUGAUCAGCAAGUAAAGAGUUUUCCUUCCGUUUUAGCCGAUUCACCAUGAGAGCCAAGUGGAAGAAGAAGCGUAUGAGGAGAUUGAAGAGGAAGCGCCGAAAGAUGAGACAGAGAUCCAAGUAGAAUUCAUAUUUGGCACUUCUCAGCUUUUGACAUAUCUCUGUUGCUUUAGGUUAUUGUGUUUUUUUUUUUGUCUUGUUUUCAGUACUUGCAGUUAAAUUUCUGUAGUUAAAUUAUGAGUUGUAUUGAAACUAUGGGAGGUAUUUUUGGCUUAAGUUUAUGAUAUUUACUCCUUAUCACUGA